AGAGUUUGAUCCUGGCUCAGGAUGAACGCUAGCGGCAGGCCUAAUACAUGCAAGUCGAACGGUGAUAGCAAUAUCAUAGUGGCGCACGGGUGCGUAACACGUAUGCAACCUACCUUAUACUGAGGGAUAGCCUUUCGAAAGGGAGAUUAAUACCUCAUAACACAUUGAACUGGCAUCAGUUUAUUGUUAAAGAUUUAUUGGCAUAAGAUGGGCAUGCGUCCAAUUAGUUAGUUGGCGAGGUAACGGCUCACCAAGACGAUGAUUGGUAGGGGAACUGAGAGGUUAAUCCCCCACACUGGCACUGAGAUACGGGCCAGACUCCUACGGGAGGCAGCAGUAGGGAAUAUUGGGCAAUGGAGGCAACUCUGACCCAGCCAUGCCGCGUGCAGGAGGAAGGCGUUAUGCGUUGUAAACUGCUUCUAUAUAGGAAGAAAUAGACCUUGCGAGGUAAGUUGACGGUACUAUAUGAAUAAGCACCGGCUAACUCCGUGCCAGCAGCCGCGGUAAUACGGAGGGUGCAAGCGUUGUCCGGAUUUAUUGGGUUUAAAGGGUGCGUAGGCGGUUUAUUAAGUCAGUGGUGAAAGACGGUCGCUCAACGAUUGCAGUGCCAUUGAUACUGGUAGACUUGAGUGGGAUUGA
rnacentral:rRNA from 1 species